rnacentral:rRNA from 1 species
GAUGAACGCUAGCGAUAUGCUUAACACAUGCAAGUAGAGGGACCGGCGCACGGGUGCGUAACGCGUAUGCAACUUGCUUCACAGAGGGGGAUAACCCGUCGAAAGACGGACUAAUACCGCGUACUUUGAGAUAGGAAUGCGUCCCUUUAGCUAGUUGGGGAGGGAACGGCGCACCAAGGCAACGAUGGGUAGGGGAACUGAGAGGUUGAACCCCCACACUGGUACUGAGACACGGACCAGACUCCGACGGGAGGCAGCAGUGAGGAAUAUUGGUCAAUGGGCGAGAGCCUGAACCAGCCAAGUCGCGUGAAGGAUGACUGUCUAUGGAUUGUAAACUUCUUUUGUAGGGGAAUAUGUACCCUACGAAUAAGCAGCGGCUAACUCCGUGCCAGCAGCCGCGGUAAUUC